CGAAGUGGCGGUCAUCCAGCUUCCUAGAAAAGCUCUAACCACGUUAAUCUUUAGUUGCCUGUACCCGAAACCGACACAGGUAGGGGGGUAGAAAAUACCAAGGGGCGCGAGAUAACUCUCUCUAAGGAACUCGGCAAAAUGACCCCGUAACUUCGGGAGAAGGGGUACCACUGAGAAGUGGUCGCAGUGAAGAGGCCCAGGCGACUGUUUACCAAAAACACAGGUCUCCGCCAAGUCGCAAGACGAAGUAUGGGGGCUGACGCCUGCCCAGUGCCGGAAGGUUAAGGAAGUGGGUUAGGGAUUCGUCCCGAAGCUGACGACUGAAGCCCCGGUGAACGGCGGCCGUAACUAUAACGGUCCUAAGGUAGCGAAAUUCCUUGUCGGGUAAGUUCCGACCCGCACGAAAGGCGUAACGAUCUGGGCGCUGUCUCGGAGAGAGGCUCGGCGAAAUAGGAAUGUCUGUGAAGAUACGGACUACCUGCACCUGGACAGAAAGACCCUAUGAAGCUUUACUGUAGCUUGGAAUUGGGUUCGGGCUUGGUUUGCGCAGGAUAGGUGGGAGGCGAAGAAGAUUUGCUUGUGGGUGAAUCUGAGCCAACGGUGAGAUACCACUCUAACCAGGCUAGAAUUCUAACUUCAACCCGUCAACCGGGGGAAGGACAGUUUCAGGUGGGCAGUUUGACUGGGGCGGUCGCCUCCUAAAAGAUAACGGAGGCGCACAAAGGUUCCCUCAGGCUGGUUGGAAAUCAGCCAACGAGUGCAAAGGCAGAAGGGAGCUUGACUGCGAGACCUACAAGUCAAGCAGGGUGGAAACACGGUCUUAGUGAUCCGACGGCACCGAGUGGAAGGGCCGUCGCUCAACGGAUAAAAGUUACUCUAGGAUAACAGGCUGAUCUCCCCCAAGAGUUCACAUCGACGGGGAGGUUUGGCACCUCGAUGUCGGCUCAUCGCAACCUGGGGCGGAAGUACGUCCCAAGGGUUGGGCUGUUCGCCCAUUAAAGCGGUACGUGAGCUGGGUUCAGAACGUCGUGAGACAGUUCGGUCCAUAUCCGGUGUAGGCGCAAGAACAUUGAGAGGAGUCUUCCUUAGUACGAGAGGACCGGGAAGAACGCACCGCUGGUGUACCUGUUAUCGUGCCAACGGUAAACGCAGGGUAGCCAAGUGCGGAGUGGAUAACCGCUGAAAGCAUCUAAGUGGGAAGCCCACCUCAAGAUGAGUGUUCUCAUGGAGUAAUCCAGUAAGGUCACGGGAAGACGACCCGUUGAUAGGCGGUAGGUGGAAGUUCAGCAAUGGAUGAAGCCGAGCCGUACUAACAGACCGAGGGCUUGACC
rnacentral:rRNA from 1 species